CCUACGGGCUCUGCAGUGGGGAAUAUUGGACAAUGGGCGAAAGCCUGAUCCAGCCAUGCCGCGUGUGUGAAGAAGGCCUUCGGGUUGUAAAGCACUUUCAGUGGGGAAGAAAGCCUUGGGGCUAAUACCCUCGAGGAAGGACAUCACCCACAGAAGAAGCACCGGCUAACUCCGUGCCAGCAGCCGCGGUAAUACGGAGGGUGCGAGCGUUAAUCGGAAUUACUGGGCGUAAAGCGCGCGUAGGCGGUCUGAUAAGCCGGUUGUGAAAGCCCCGGGCUCAACCUGGGAACGGCAUCCGGAACUGUCAGGCUAGAGUGCAGGAGAGGAAGGUAGAAUUCCCGGUGUAGCGGUGAAAUGCGUAGAGAUCGGGAGGAAUACCAGUGGCGAAGGCGGCCUUCUGGACUGACACUGACGCUGAGGUGCGAAAGCGUGGGUAGCAAACAGGAUUAGAUACCCUAGUAGUC
rnacentral:rRNA from 1 species